AGCUGUCAGCGAGCAACCUAAUUGGCUUCGCUUCUAAGAAAACUUUCACAACAAAACCAGCAAACUCGGCACCGGCGCCCAAGAGGGAAAUGCCACAUGCUCGCCAAUGUUGCGAAGUAGUUAUGCCAAAGCUGGUCCGCAUGAGUUUCCAAAUUACAUACGAACACGCUACCCAAGCAUAUUAGAACAGAAGCUUGGUAUACUUCUACGGGAGCAGAACGCCCGCGGCCUAGCAAACAUAUCAGAAAUGCAUCAAGCAUUCCAGUCCAAUAUGUUUAAUUUCACAGACAAGCUUAUGGCGUGCUUAGCAGAGAAUUGCACUUGUUGUAAGACACAUGGGAACAAAACAUGCAUAUUGGAUAAUGAAGGAACAAAUACUUGUGAUGCACCCCCUCAUGUAUCAACAGAUCAAACUCAAUUCAGCACCCCACUAGUCAGCAAGACUGGACCCCGACUACCAGCACCAGGCAACCCUGGAGCAUGCCUGUCUGUCAAUAGUUCCGUGUCUAGUAAAAGGGAUGGCAGUUUAUCAUCAAGCAUACAGUCGGGCACAUCAAAGGAAACAUGUUCACGCAAGACAGAGACCGCCCUCGCUGCAACACCAACAUGUGGGCAAAACCCACUCAAUCAGAUUCCCAUAUCCCAGGAUGCAACCGUCAAGGAAAUUGCGAGCAAAAAUGCUGCUUUUUAUGAUGACCUAACAUCCAUCUUGGUUACUUACUAUGCUGAGAUACGUCCAGCCCCUGGCUUCAUAUUGUUUGGAUCAACCACCGAUGGAGCACCUGUGAAGAUCGAUCUACCUCAAUGCAACUUUGGAAGAGAUCCGUGGGUCGCUGGAUUAGUCUUAGUACCACCAAUCCCAACUGUACUCAGGGCCAUAAAAGACUGGAUGAGUGCAACCUCCAUGCUAAACCUCGAGAGGAAAGAUCACAUUCCCUGUGCAGUAAUCUUCUUAUGGAAUGCUCACAUGCAUUUUUCAUCUUCUGGUUUAUUAACCGCAUCUUCCCAAUCAAACAGUUGCAGGGAAUGGAUCGUGCAUCCUAAGCCAAGACUCAUAACAUUAGAGGGUAUUGAAAUCCAGCGUUAGCUUGCAUUUAACGACGCAAUGACCCAUGAGAUGGCUACAGCUAUUUUUCAUAGGCUUGGCCAAGUUGAUUUGUUUUUCUCAAAUGACAGUACUGGACAGAUAUGGAGGAAAUUCGUCGAGCCCGACUUUGCUACAACUGUUUUGGCGAACGCGGACCCAAUGACCGUACAAUCAAUCAGGGAUAGCUUCCAAGAAGGAACAUCAUCCUGCAACCCAGCUUCAUGUCGAAUGUGGUACAUCCCGACGAUACUACCUGAUGGUUGGACCGUUUAUGCUUUUGAUAUGUUGCGGAAAAGAAUAAUUGUAUUAGACCCAGCUAUUGGACCGUUUGGGUAUAGCAACCGCCGAGUCAGCAUGCAUGAAUUUGUUAGCAACAAGCUCCACGCCGCGUUAUUCACAUGCCUCCAGAGUUUCUUCAGCUCUUGGCAUUGUGAAUCAGGCCACUGGGGACGCACUUUCCCGAUCAUAAUUAGGGAAACGAUUGAGAAAGAGCAGACUGGGUUGUGUGCCACCUUCUUUGCAUGGAAUUACGACGGCGACAAGCUACAGACACCACUAAAUAAAGACACGCUUGCAUCACACAGAAGCCUGAUGAUCUAUGAACUAAUGAGGAUGCAAGGCAACCAAACUCCAGUGGCAAACGAUGCCCUUGAAGCGGUGAAAGUAUCGUUCACUGCUCUUUAGAAUAGCGUUCUUGUCUGUGUCAUUCUUAACUACCGGAAACCUCUUUCCCAAAUGGAUUGUGUUACAACUAGAGAUUACAACUAUUUAGGGCCACCUGGCCCAAAACCAUGCCUGACCAUCGGGUCCUACUUAUUUGUAUCG